UACGUAAGGACCGAGCGUUGUCCGGAAUCAUUGGGCGUAAAGGGUACGUAGGCGGUUAGAAAAGUUAGAAGUGAAAGGGUAGAGCUCAACUAUAGAAAGCUUUUAAAACUGUUUAACUUGAGAAAUGGAAGGGAAAGUGGAAUUCCUAGUGUAGCGGUGAAAUGCGUAGAUAUUAGGAGGAAUACCGGUGGCGAAGGCGACUUCCUGGCCAUUAACUGACGCUGAGGUACGAAAGCGUGGGGAGCAAACAGG
rnacentral:rRNA from 1 species